AAUUGACAUUAGUCAAGAAACUGAGGAAAGCAUUGACCAGGUAGCGGUCCUGACUUCCAACAUCCUCUUCUUUAUCGUCAUGUUCAUCUUUGCCGUCUUUGAGACAAUUGCCACCCCUUUGUCCAUGGACAUGUUUGCUUGGACAAGGAAAGAAGCUGUUUUAUACAAUGGCAUCAUCAUCUGCUGCAUUGGAUUUGAAUCAAUCUUUGUUUUCCUGGUUGUAAAAGUGGCCUCUCAAAGGGUUGGAGAUCGUCCUGUGUUGCUGGCAGGCUUGGCCAUUAUAUUCUGUGGCUUUUUUAUUCUGCUUCCUUGGGGGAACCAUUACCCCAAAAUCCAGUGGGCAGGUAUGGAUUGUUCUAAGUGCACAAACUGUUUCC